rnacentral:rRNA from 1 species
UACGGAGGGUGCUAGCGUUGUUCGGAAUUACUGGGCGUAAAGCGCACGUAGGCGGCUUUGUAAGUUAGAGGUGAAAGCCCGGAGCUCAACUCCGGAACUGCCUUUAAGACUGCAUCGCUUGAAUCCAGGAGAGGUGAGUGGAAUUCCGAGUGUAGAGGUGAAAUUCGUAGAUAUUCGGAAGAACACCAGUGGCGAAGGCGGCUCACUGGACUGGUAUUGACGCUGAGGUGCGAAAGCGUGGGGAGCAAACAGG